rnacentral:rRNA from 1 species
UACAGAGGUCCCAAGCGUUGUUCGGAAUCACUGGGCGUAAAGGGUGCGUAGGCGGGUCUUUAAGUCAGGGGUGAAAUCCUGGAGCUCAACUCCAGAACUGCCUUUGAUACUGAGGAUCUUGAGUUCGGGAGAGGUGAGUGGAACUGCGAGUGUAGAGGUGAAAUUCGUAGAUAUUCGCAAGAACACCAGUGGCGAAGGCGGCGACCUGGUCCGAUACUGACGCUGAGGCGCGAAAGCGUGGGGAGCAAACAGG